AUUGAACGCUGGCGGCAUGCUUUACACAUGCAAGUCGGACGAGUGGCGAACGGGUGAGUAACGCAUCGGAACGUGCCGAGUAAUGGGGGAUAACUGUCCGAAAGGACAGCUAAUACCGCAUAUUAUUCGAGAGGCCGAUGUCUGAUUAGCUAGUUGGAGGGGUAACGGCCCACCAAGGCGAUGAUCAGUAGCCGGUCUGAGAGGAUGAACGGCCACAUUGGGACUGAGACACGGCCCAGACUCCUACGGGAGGCAGCAGUGGGGAAUCUUCCGCAAUGGACGAAAGCCUGAUGCAGCCAUGCCGCGUGUGUGAAGAAGGCCUUCGGGUUGUAAAGCACUUUCAGUGGGGAGGCGUUACCCGCAGAAGAAGCACCGGCUAACUCCGUGCCAGCAGCCGCGGUAAUUC
rnacentral:rRNA from 1 species